rnacentral:tRNA from 1 species
GCCAGGCUGGUGGGAUGGCAGCCACCAGGGACUUAAAAUCCCUUGCCAAGUAUUUGGCGUGCGGGUUCGAGUCCCGCUCCUGGCA